rnacentral:lncRNA from 1 species
GUUGUUAUUGAUCGAUCACGAGGAUACUCUUAUACUAGUUACUACUCUCUUACACUUACGCACUCAAGUCUAGAUUAACCAGCCACAUUAGGUAUGAUUGAUUCCAGUUUCUGGACUAAUGUUACAACUUACAAGCAAAGUUUGAACAACUCUGUUACACCUAUCUAGCUAUUCCAGCAAUUCUCUUAAGUCUAAACAAACCAACUUAUAAGUCUAUUUAGCUUACGACGACACAACUAGAUGAAUGGGCCAGACUAAACCUGAUAGACAUUUCUUUAUUGGACCAGAACCAAAUCUGCAAGGCCCAUCCCCAUCUCUUUCACCAAUCUAUCAGGUUUUCACUUGUUGACUUCUAUUUGGCGUUGACUCCUUCGCUUUGCUUCUUCUGCUCCGACGCCUCUUCUUCUUUUCCCUUUUGCGCUUUGCGUCUUCUCCUCUUCUUCCUUCUUCUUACUCUUAUCAUUGAAGCUUUCUCUUAUUGCAGGUUGAAUCAUGGUUCAACUCCAAUACUCCCUCUUUAAACUUUGGUUGAAACUCCCAAAUCAGUAUAAGGAUUUUGACAUCGACGUGGUGCUUUCUUAACCGGAAACAACGACGAAUCACCACCUUCUACGGCGAGCAUCUCUCUCCGCGUAGGUAUUCUUUCAACUUAUGGCUAAACAAACCUUAAAAUCGUUUCCAAACACGCAGACCGUUGGAAGUAGGAUUGAGUUUUGUUGGAGAAGGAUCCUUAGAAGAAAGAAAUUAGCCAUGGAUCGAUGACCCGAAGCUGUCCAACGGAGAUCCCAUCCCACCGGGUGAAUUCAAAGGCUAUGCCGUGAACUAGGAUGAUUCAGAGGAGCUAUCACUAUACUCAGGAAUCAGGUACAAUUGAUUUCGGUUUGGUUUUUAAUGGUUUUCGAAUUACAAUUGAUUUUGGUUUGGUUUAAAUUGGUU